rnacentral:rRNA from 1 species
AGCAUAUAAGAUGCCCUUUAAUUGGGGGCUGGUAUGAAAGGACACACGAGAGUUAAGCUGUCUCUAUAAUAAAAAAUAAAUUUACCUUUAGGUGAAAAGGCCUAAAUCCCAUUAAAAGACAAAAAGACCCCAUAGAGCUUUAUUAAAACAAAAUAAAAAUAAAUUAACUUAAAUUUAUUUUUAUAGAACAUAUAAUUUAACUGGGGCGGUUAAGGAGCAAUUACCCUCCUUUCUAAUUUACGAUUACGUAUCUACAAAGAUCCUCAAUGGAUUAAAGAAACAAGCUACCUUGGGGAUAACAGACUAAUCCCUUUCGAGAGUACAUAUCGAAAAAGGAGUUUGGCACCUCGAUGUUGGCUCAAGAGAACCUAGAAAUAGUAGAAGUUUCUGAAGGCGGGUUUGUUCAACCCUUAAA